GCCCCGGUGGUGUAGCCCGGUCAAGCAUGUUACCCUCUCGAGGUAGCGACGCGAGUUCAAAUCUCGCCCGGGGCA
rnacentral:tRNA from 3 species